UCGAGUGCUAAGGACCAUCUUUGGUGGCGUAUAUGAGAACGACGGAUGGCGGCGGAGAAUGAACCACGAACUUGCACAACUCUACAACGAACCAAGCAUCCGGAAGGUCGCGAAGGCUGGACGGUUGCAGUGGGCCGGUCAUGUUGCAAGGAUGCCGGAACGUACCGAGCAAUUGAGCCAACGGAACCAGAAGAUCAAUCCUGCGAAGUUGGUGUUUGUGUCGGAACCGGUAGGAACAAGACGUAGGGGGGUGCAACGUGCGAGGUGGGUGGACCAAGUGGAGAGCGAUCUAGAAAGUGUGGGUGCACCGCGAAAUUGGAGACAUGCAGCCAUGGACCGAGCUUGUUGGCGGAGAAUCGUGCAGCAGGCCAAGCUAAUGGUGUAGCGCCAAUAAAAGUGUUCUAGAGCCGCAAACAUGGACCAUGGAACGGCCACCGGUAGUAAUAGAAGCAAUUAACGUCAACCAACCAACAAAAGAAGCAGAAGAGGAAGAAGACGUCGUCCCCAUCGGUAGUGGUGGUGGUGACGGUGACGACGGAGCAACAACAUGAUCGAUAACAUCAUGACGCGUGACAGCGAAAUACCGGCCAUUUUCAACCCGAAACGUGUUCGCGCCCCCUCCGUCGUUGUGACAGGAGACUCGCCAAACGGACCCUUCGGUGGGUUCACCAACAAUGUGCCACAGAUCACGCACUCGGACUCGGUGACCUCGAGCCAGCACGACGGCCAGGACAGCCUGAUCGGGGUGACCGUGACGGGGAUGGGCUGCGACACGCCCACCUCCGGCCACGGCGGAGUCCUCGGGCUUGGCGCUCUCGGGUUGGGAGGUGGCGGAGGCGGCUUGAUGGGCAACAGCAGUGGUGGCAGCGGACCAGGUGGUGGCGCCGGAGCCGUGCCGGGAACUCCGACGCCACCGACGUCCCGGCUGAAGGCGUGCCGCGCCUCGUGCUGCUCGGAACUGGCCCAGAAGAUGUACUUCGGGGUUUGCGUCACGAUCCUGGUGACGGCUUCGUGGGUCGGCGCGACGCACUGCAUCAAGUUUUUGUACCUCCGGCGGAACGCGUACGCAUCGACGUUGCCGCCCCAUCUGACGGCGUUCAUCACGGACAGUGAGAGCAUUUUGACGGUAGCGGCGGCCGAUGCGCCGGUCGGACACAACCCGCUGAACUCGUCCUCGGCGAUGAUCGUGCACGGGUUCGGUCCGACGACUUCGUUUAUGCCGUCUACGACGAAGCCGAUUGUGACGUCGGACCGGGUGGUUCCGCUCAAUCCGGGUCACAUCUUCAACGCACCGUUUUUUGCUUCUUGGUUCUGCACCAACUUUGCCAUUCUGUUCUUUCCGAUCUACAUCUUGGGUCGGGUGGCGAUCAAGAAGUGCGACGGAACGGGCGAAAUUCUGGGCGAGAUCCUGCGGGGGUUCCGGGAUCGGGGCUUCACGAUUGGACGGUUUCUGAACAGAUGUCUGACGUUCUGCAUCCUGUGGCUGCUGACGACGUAUCUGUAUGCGUUAUCGUUGAAGGCCUUGCUGGCUACGGACGUGAUGGCCCUGUUUGCGACGAACGUGGCCUGCGUGUACCUACUGGCGUGGGUCAUCCUGCAGGAGCAGUUUGUCGGAGUUAGGAUCGUAGCUGUCAUCCUGUGUGACACGGGGAUCGCGCUGCUGGCCUACAUGGACGGAAUUACGGGUAGCCCAACGCUGGGUGGAGUCGUGCUGGCAGCACUGGCCGCUGCCGGGUACGCCGUGUUUAAGGUGAUGUUCCGCAAGGUGAUGGGCGACCCGCCGGUCGGCCAAAUUGCGUUCACCUUCUCCAUCAUUGGCUUCCUGAACGCGGCCAUUCUGUGGCCGGUGUGCAUCGCGCUGUACUUUACCGGGGCCGAAGUGAUGCCCUGGGAGCCGCUGCCGUGGAUCGUGCUGCUAAUGGCCAGCAUACUGCUGCUAGUUUUCCACAUCUUGACGCAGUUUAGCAGCGCCGUUACGUACAACAUGUUCGUUACACUAGGUUUAAUCACGGCAGUGCCAGUGUCAGCAGCGCUAGACAUCGUGCUGUACGGUGCGCACUUUGCCGGAAUGAAGCUGGCGGGUAUUAUAUUAAUAGCCGUCGGCUUCUUCCUGGUCAUGUUCCCCGACAACUGGCCCGACUACAUAACCCGGCUGCUCAGAAAAACUGGUCGUGCAUUGCUAAGAAACCAAUGUUGUUACGAUUCCGCUGAUAAUGAUUACGAAAAUUCGAAAUAUCAUCUUGUUGGGUCACAACGCGAGAUAUACUGCAAAAGAGGUAAUCGUUUAACAGAGUCCUUGAAUUGUUGAUGAACCUUGCUCAGAGCAAAGAAAGUAACAAUUGUGGUCAUAGUCACCCCCACAAACACACUCCCCAAAAGAGACCAAAAAAACCUACUCAAAACAAACCACCCAAAACCAAUUUCAAUUCCCAGCCUCAGUCGGCCGGCAUUCUGUAGACGGGACAUUGUGGUGGCCUCGCCGACCUCCACCACCAGAUAGAACUCACCGUCACCCGGAUGGACCACCCGCCACUUUCAUCUUCAUCUCCAUCACAGUCUUCACCUCAACCUACACCAUCAACAACAACAGCAACAUCAACAACAGGCCAUUGUUACAACGACAACCUCGUCAUCCUCGCCGGCAACGGAUCAUCACUGAAAGGAUCAUUAACAUCAUGCUUGAGAAG